GUGCUCACUUUGGCAGCACAUAUAACUAAAAUUGGAACCAUACAGAGAAGAUUAGCGUGGCCCCU
rnacentral:snRNA from 10 species